UAAUACGUAGGAGGCGAGCGUUAUCCGGAUUUACUGGGCGUAAAGAGGGCGUAGGCGGUUCUUCAAGUCGGAUGUAAAAUCUCCCGGCUCAACUGGGAGGGACCAUUCGAUACUGUUGGGCUAGAGGACAGCAGAGGGAGGCGGAAUUCCCGGUGGAGUGGUGAAAUGCGUAGAUAUCGGGAGGAACACCAGUGGCGAAGGCGGCCUUCUGGGCUGUUUCUGACGCUGAGGCCCGAAAGCGUGGGGAGCGAACAGGAUUAGAUACCCUGGUAGUCCACGCCGUAAACGAUGGACACUAGGUAUGGGGAGUAUCGACCCUCUCCGUGCCGAAGCUAACGCCUUAAGUGUCCCGCCUGGGGACUACGACCGCAAGGUUA
rnacentral:rRNA from 1 species